UCUUAUAUUUUUAAGUACUAACUUCAGCAAUACAUACAGAAAAUAUUAGCAUGACCCCUGCACAAGGAUCACCUGCAAAUUCGUGAAGUGUCCCAUGUUUUU
rfam:Octopus bimaculoides Scaffold266061_contig_38, whole genome shotgun sequence.